rnacentral:rRNA from 1 species
UACAGGGGGGGCAAGCGUUGUUCGGAAUUACUGGGCGUAAAGGGUUCGUAGGUGGCCAACUAAGUCAGACGUGAAAUCCCUCAGCUUAACUGGGGAACUGCGUCUGAUACUGGAUGGCUUGAGUUCGGGAGAGGGAUGCGGAAUUCCAGGUGUAGCGGUGAAAUGCGUAGAUAUCUGGAGGAACACCGGUGGCGAAGGCGGCAUCCUGGACCGACACUGACGCUGAGGAGCGAAAGCCAGGGGAGCAAAGCGGG